rnacentral:misc_RNA from 1 species
UGAGCAAGCAACGGUCGUUUAAAGCGAAGCGAGUUUCGCCUCUGGAAUCCAUUUACAGGGCUCUCUCCAGAGUUCAGUCUCGAUGAUCUCCUGCAAAGCUUCAAGCUUCGUAUUAGAAAAUCCCAUCUGCCAGCAGAAGGAGAAGAAUUAUUCUUUGAAAGGAGCAGUAGGAAAUUUCCAGCUGAGACCCUCUCAUUAUCAUCAUUAUCAGCCUGCAAUAAGAUGUUGUUCCUCAUCAAUUGAUGGUCAUUUGACAAGCACAAGUCAUGAUUAUCAUGACAAUGUCAAGAAGAAGAAGCUCCUCCAGACAGAAGAAAUUAGAAAGGUGAAUUGCCAAGUAGAAGUGAUAUCGUGGCGGGAACGUAGAAUUAAGGCCCAAAUUACUGUCAAUGCAGACAUUCAAUCCGUCUGGACUGCUCUCACUGACUACGAGCGUCUCGCUGAUUAUAUUCCGAAUCUCGUUUGCAGCGGGAGAAUUCCUUGCCCUCAUCCUGGGAGGAUAUGGUUAGAGCAGAGAGGCUUGCAGAGGGCACUCUAUUGGCAUAUUGAAGCUCGUGUUGUGUUGGAUCUACAAGAAUUUCCCAUUUCAGCUAAUAAUCAUGAACUGCACUUUUCGAUGGUUGAUGGAGACUUUAAGAAGUUUGAUGGCAAGUGGUCAUUAAAAUCAGGGGCAAGGCCUGGAAUGACACAAUUAUCAUAUGAAGUUAAUGUAAUUCCAAGGUUCAACUUUCCAGGUAUUUUCUUGGAGAGGAUUAUUAGAUCAGAUCUUCCUGUUAAUCUUCAAGCCUUGGCUUGUCAAGCAGAGAGAGAUUUUACAGGGAAUCAAAAGACAUCAAUUGCAGAAAGUGGAAAAUCCAUGGCCAUAUUUACUUCUCUGGACACAAGUCUACCUGAUGCUUUUAAUGAGAAGGAUAAUUUGUUUACUGGAGACUUUAAAGAGAGUUAUCCUGGCUCAAAUUUUGGCCCCAUGCCAUCAUCUUCAAGUGAGUUAAAUGCGAACUGGGGUGUGUUUGGAAAAGUUUGUAGACUUGACAGCCAUUGCACGGUGGAUGAAGUUCAUUUGCGCAGAUUUGAUGGCCUAUUGGAAAAUGGAGGGGUUCAUCGUUGUGUUGUUGCUAGCAUAACUGUUAAAGCUCCUGUUCGUGAAGUCUGGAAAGUUUUGACUGCUUACGAGAGUCUUCCUGAGCUUAUUGGGGUGAGAAAAUACUCUCAGAGAGCAUCUCAUGGCCAGCCAUGUUUGUAGAGUGAUUCCCAUAGGUGGCCAUGCGCGUUUCUUCAAUUCUACAUGUAGCCAUGCUUGUUCCUUCAGUCUCACAGGCAACUGUGAGAAUCUUAUAGCUGGAUAGUUCCAAACUUGGCCAUUAGUAAGAUUAUAUCACGAGAAAACAACAAAGUUCGCAUACUUCAGGAAGGAUGCAAGGGUCUGUUGUACAUGGUUCUUCAUGCACGGGUUGUUCUAGAUUUAUGUGAACAUUAUGAACAAGAGAUUAGUUUUGAGCAAGUAGAGGGGGACUUUGACUCAUUUCAGGGCAAGUGGCUUCUAGAGCAAUUAGGAAGUCAUCACACGCUACUGAAAUAUAGUGUGGAGUCCAAAAUGCAUAAAGAUUCUAUUCUUUCAGAAGCUAUCAUGGAGGAGGUACUUCAGCUUGACAUUUUCAAUGGAUUUUCGCUCUUUAAUCAUUUUAUGUAGAACUUCAGGAUAUAGUUUGGUAUGAUGGCAUGAGUGCUUAAAUUUUAAAUGUUCCUUUCUGUGGAAUGAUGAGCACUAUUUUGGCUUUAUAAGGAAGUUGAGUUUAUGAAAUUACUUCUGUUUGAGAAGUUUUGAAAAGCAAAAAAGAAAUUCAGUUGCCUAAUUAUGUUCUCAAGGCCAAUGAACAAAAAAGUCAAAUGUUUGCACCAAUGUGCACUUUUAUCCAAAAGUUUUAAUUUUGGACUGGUUAUCCAAAACUUUAAAUUUUGGAAAAAAAAAUUAGCCAAAAUUGAAGAUCAAUUGACCAAUUGACAACAUUACACUUGAGCUAUGUUUUUAUUAAUGCUUAACAGAACACUUGUGAUCUUAUUUCACAAAAUCCUCACGUGCAAAAUCAAAUUCUCCCCAAAUUGAAUUUCAGUUUUGGCUAAAAUUUCUUCAAAAUUGAAUGUUUUGAAUAAUUGGUGAUAUGACUUGGUUCAAAUAUUUGGCUUUUCUGGUCCAGAAGGCCUUUUUGCAAAGAUUUUUGUGACUAAUAGAUGCUCACAUGCUUCAAUUAUGAAAUGACAGCCUUCAAGCGGACAUUUAUAGAUAAUUGUUAUAGGAAGUCAAUAUAGAUAAUUGUUAUAGGAAGUCAA